rnacentral:rRNA from 1 species
AUUGAACGCUGGCGGCAGGCAUAACACAUGCAAGUCGAGCGAGCGGCGGACGGGUGAGUAAUGGAUGGGGAUCUGCCCGAUAGCGGGGGAUAACUACUGGAAACGGUGGCUAAUACCGGAUACAAUCAGAUGAACCCAUAUGGUAUGCGCUAGUGGGUGGGGUAACGACUUACCUAGGCGACGAUCCCUAGCUGGUCUGAGAGGAUGAUAACAGACGCCGGGACUGAGACGCGGACGACACUCCUACGAGAGGCAGCAGUGGGGAAUAUUGCCCAAUGGGAGCAAUCCUGAUACAGCCAUGCCGGGGGUAUGAAGAAGGCCUUCGGGUUGUAAAGUACUUUCGGUCGGGAGGCGUUACCGGCAGAAGAAGCACCGGCUAACUCCGUGCCAGCAGCCGCGGUAAUUC